rnacentral:rRNA from 1 species
GAUCAUGGCUCAGGAUGAACGCUAGCUACAGGCUUAACACAUGCAAGUCGAGGGGCAGCAUGAUUGGAGCUUGCUUCAAUUGAUGGCGACCGGCGCACGGGUGAGUAACACGUAUCCAACCUGCCGAUAACUCGGGGAUAGCCUUUCGAAAGAAAGAUUAAUACCCGAUAGUAUAGUAUUUCCGCAUGGUUUCACUAUUAAAGAAUUUCGGUUAUCGAUGGGGAUGCGUUCCAUUAGA